rnacentral:lncRNA from 1 species
GCCCACACCUUCAGGAAGUGGGGCGACUUACAGAAACGACGUGCCCCUCAGACCACACAGCAUAAGGCCAUGAGGCUGCUGGCCUGUCUUGAUAUCCGUAUACUCCUUUCGUAUCAGAUGUGAAAUCGACUGGCCAGAAUUAUGAAUGGGAGCUCGACUUCUAUAGGUAAUUCGUCCCAUAACCGGUGGAAAGAACACAGAUUUUCAGGCAGAAGACGUCAAUAACCAGUUCUACCUGCAUGGGUUAUUUAAUCAUGCUCGGUCUUAUUU